GUCUAUAGCCAUACAGCCCUGAACACACCCUGUCUCAUCUGAAACUAAGCAAGGUCUGUCCUGGUUAGUCAUAUGGGAGAAUCGUAGGUAUGGUUCCACCAAGAGCAGUGUUCUGGCAGUUUUUAACU
rnacentral:rRNA from 1 species